rnacentral:rRNA from 1 species
CAGCAGCCACGGUAAUACGGAGGGAGCUAGCGUUGUUCGGAAUUACUGGGCGUAAAGCGCACGUAGGCGGUUAUUCAAGUCAGAGGUGAAAGCCCGGGGCUCAACCCCGGAACUGCCUUUGAAACUAGAUGACUAGAAUCUUGGAGAGGUCAGUGGAAUUCCGAGUGUAGAGGUGAAAUUCGUAGAUAUUCGGAAGAACACCAGUGGCGAAGGCGACUGACUGGACAAGUAUUGACGCUGAGGUGCGAAAGCGUGGGGAGCAAACAGGAUUAGAUACCCGUGUAGUCCCUGUCUCUUAUAC